CAGACACCAGAGAACAAUCAAGGCAGCCAGAUCUCGAUGGGUACAGUUUCGUCAGAGAAGAAAACACAUUGAGGAAAAGGAUUUUGAUGCAUCUUUCAAUAGCAGCAGUAAUUGAGGUACAAGAAAGAGAAGUUGCCCACUGGGAAUGAAGGAUUUGGGACAGAGGUAGCAAACCAUAUCAGAUAUCUGUUGAUAAAUGACUUCUAUACCUAUUCAAAAUGAAUCAAUGGGAAGAAUUACAAUGCACUUAGUGUACAUGGGAAGGCUUAUUUACCUGCAAAGAUUGGAUUAGGGCAAGUGAACAAUGAAC